AUGGGGUCCCACCUGGGCCUGCAUCUCAAGGUGUCCUCCCCCCCCACCCCACCCCCCCCCAGCCAGGUCCAUUGGGUGGGCGACCACGCUCAGGACCUUCCCGCCCGGAGCGAAACAGGUCCCGUCACCGGUCAAGAGGUCUUCUCCGUCCUCAGUGUCCUCCGUCUGGAGAAGGGUGAGGAGGGGAAGGCCUACGCCUGCAUGGUGAGACACCUCACCCUGGAGGAACCCUUGAACGUCACCGAAAACACCGGCAGAGAAGGUCCACCCACGGUCUCUCCCACACCUGAACAGCCGGAGAGUUCCUCAUCCCACCAUGGUUGCCUCAGGUCUCCACCACCUUCCCUGCAACCCCCUUCUUUCCACGAGCUCUUCCAACGCCAAGCGGCCAACUUGACCUGCGCCACCCCCUUGGCCAACGCCACCCUGAGUUGGGCGGUAGAAGGUCGUCCGGCGGCCCCCGAGGCGGUGAAGGUGGACCGUCGCCCCGCGGGGGCAGGGGCAGGGAGUCCCUUGAAGCCCCCGAGCCUCCACGUCUUGCCCUCGUCACGUGCCGAGGCUUGCGCCGGCCACAACUUCACCGCCUUCUGCCUCGUCAAGGACUUCUACCCGCCGGAGAUCGCCGUCUGGUGGCGGCAAGGCGCUAACGAAGGGCCAGUUGACGAGGCGCCCAGUUGUGACCACAAAGCCCACCGCUGCUCCCUGGUGGUCACCUUGGACGUGCCGUGGGACGAGUGGGUGGGGGGCACCUCCUACGGCUGCUCGGCCGCCCACAUCUCCUCCGGCAAGAUGGUGGAGAAGACCGUUGACGUCCAUGCCGACCCCUGGGAUUGCACCGGGCUCCACUUUGUACCUUGCGGCUUAUUGGGUGAGGGCGAUGACCUGGAGCCGGAGGAGGAUGGCAGCGCCUGGACCACCAUCUCCACCUUCGUGGUGCUCUUCCUCCUCCUGAUCUUCUACAGCGGCUUCAUCACCUUCAUCAAGAGGCCACCAGAAUUUCCCUAG